GGAAUUAGCAACAACUGUACCGUGAAUGUAAUUAUCAUGGGUAAAAGUACGGAUGGAGAUAGUGAUAGUAUGUCAUGGCAGGAAGUAAAUAAUAAGAGGAAAGGAAGGUGUGAUAGUUCUGGAAGUUCCAAUGAUGAAGUGGACGUGAGUGACAAGUCCAAAAAAGUGAAGUCUAUAAUUAUAAAUGGGAAAAAGGAGAACGAACAAACUGAAUGGAAAGUGAUGAUAACGUUCAAAAAAGAAGGGGGACAUUUUCACCCACUAAAACUAACAAAAGCAAUUGAGAAAGAAAUGGGUAAGAUCAAGUUUGCUAAAUAUUUGAACAAUAGAAGGCUGCUGGUCUUUGCUACAGGUCAACUGCAAAGAGAUAGAUUUCUCAGAGCAGAAACACUUAAUGGGGAAAGGAUCAGUGCUCAUAUCCCUGGGAAUGCAGCAAAGCUUAGAGGUGUUAUCUAUGAUGUACCUUUGGCAAUAACAAUGGAGGAGAUAAUUCAAGAAGUGAAAGGAGGGAAAGUUGUGAAAGCCACAAGACUACAAACACAAAGAAAAGGGGUGAAAACUGAUAGCCUAUCAGUAAAGCUAGAAUUUGAAAAAGAAAUGCCAAAGAGGGUAAGAUUGGGAUAUUUGAGUUAUGAUGUAAGAGAGUUUAUCCCAGCACCACUUCGUUGUUUCAAAUGUCAAAGAAUGGGACAUACUGCUGGUCAAUGUAAAGGAAAACAAAGAUGUGCUAGAUGUGGAGGUGAACAUGAGUAUGGAAAUUGUGGUCAGGAUACAAAAGUAAAAUGCUGUAAUUGUGGUGGUGAGCAUAGCGCUGCUUUUGGAGGAUGCCCUGUACAAAGACAAGCAAGAGAGGUCCAGAAAUAUAAAGUAACUAAUCAGGUGUCUUAUGCCGAUGCAGCAAAAAAAGUUAAGGAAAGUGAAAUAUACAGACCCAGUGUGGUACAAGUAAUAAAUAAAGCAAAAGAAUCUGAGAACAGAAGAAUAAUUGAGAUUUCAUCUCCAACGUCAAGUCAGAGGCAAACCGAAAUAAAUCCAUGGAUAAGAGAGAUUAAUGAAGACACGCUGAUUGUGGGUAAAACCAAAUUUAUUGCUUUCAUCUGUAAGACUGUCAAUGUGGCAAUACAGCAAAAGAAAAAAAGUGAUAGAAUCAAGACAAUAGUAGAGGCAGCCAUAGAAAUACUGGGGAUCACUGAAGUUACAGCUGAAAUGAUUCAUGAGAUGUUGAACCCAAAUAAUGGAAUGUCUCAAGGUGAUUAACCUCAUUAUGGUAUUUCAUAUCCUCCAAUGGAACGCCAGAAG
ensembl:lncRNA